rnacentral:rRNA from 1 species
CAGCAGCCGCGGUAAUACGUAGGUGGCAAGCGUUGUCCGGAAUUAUUGGGCGUAAAGGGCUCGCAGGCGGUUUCUUAAGUCUGAUGUGAAAGCCCCCGGCUCAACCGGGGAGGGUCAUUGGAAACUGGGAAACUUGAGUGCAGAAGAGGAGAGUGGAAUUCCACGUGUAGCGGUGAAAUGCGUAGAGAUGUGGAGGAACACCAGUGGCGAAGGCGACUCUCUGGUCUGUAACUGACGCUGAGGAGCGAAAGCGUGGGGAGCGAACGGGAUUAGAUACCCCGGUAGUCCCUGUCUCUUAUAC